ACACGAACCGGGCAAACGUUAUUCGGAAUUACUGGGCUUAAAGGGUGCGUAGGCGGCGCUUCAAGUCGGGUGUGAAAUCCCCCAGCUCAACUGGGGAACUGCGCCCGAAACUGGAGUGCUCGAGGGAGAUAGAGGUAAGCGGAACUGAUGGUGGAGCGGUGAAAUGCGUUGAUAUCAUCAGGAACACCAGUAGCGAAGGCGGCUUACUGGGUCUCUUCUGACGCUGAGGCACGAAAGCUAGGGUAGCGAACGGGAUUAGAAACCCCAGUAGUCC
rnacentral:rRNA from 1 species